rnacentral:rRNA from 1 species
GACGAACGCUGGCGGCGUGCUUAACACAUGCAAGUCGAACGGUAAGGCCCUUCGGGGUACACGAGUGGCGAACGGGGGAGAAAGACGUGGGAAAUCUGCCCUGCCCUUCGGGAUAAGCCUGGGAAACUGGGGCUAAUACCGAAUAGGACCACAGAAUACAUGUACUGGGGUGGAAAGCGUUUAAGGGGUGGGUUGGGCCCUCGGCCUGUCGGCUUGUUGGUGGGGUGAUGGCGUACCGAGGCGACGACGGGUAGAAGGCCUGAGCGGGUAUCCGGCCACACUGGGACGGCGAUACGGCCCAGACGAGUACGGGGUGCAGCAGCGGGGACUAUUGCACAAUGGGUGAAAGCGUGAUGCAGCGUCGCCGCGUGAGGGUUGACGUCCUUCGAGUUGUGUACCUCUUGCACCAUCGUCGUAGAGCCGGGUUAUCUCGUAGUGACGGUAGGUAGAGAAGAAGCACCGGCCAACUACGUG